UCCAACGGUUUUGUCUUAGUUUCGUCCUUCUGAAUCCAACGAGGCUAUCCGCAAGGUCGUAGCUCCCAUAUUAGCUGAGAUCUCGCAUUUUUGUGGCCCAUUUUUGGGCUCAAAAACGGGGUCGAAAAUUGACUUUUUUCCGAAUUUUCAAAGAGCUAUAAUUCCACUUGUUCUGGUCGAAUUUCGUUAUAAAUCGGUGUUUUCGUAAUGUAGGUGAUGGGAAUAAGCCGCUGAUAGGGGUUUCUACAGCUAUUUUUGGGUUUAAAGAAAAUCGAUUUUUCGCAUUUUCAAAGUGCUAUAAUUCCCUUAGUUUUUCUCGAAACUCAUUAUAACCCGGUGUUUUCGUGUUGUAGGUGAUGGGAACAAGCCGCUGGUAUAGUUAGUUCAAAUUCGAAAAAAAUCAAUUUUUGGUGAAAAAUUCGAUACGGGGGGGUAUACCCGAAAAAUGAAAAAACCCAAACUUUGAAGGCCUAUAUCUCGGCUUCUAUGGGAGCUAUCGGGAAAAUUCCAACGGUUUUGUCUUAGUUUCGUCCUUCUGAAUCCAACGAGGCUAUCCGCAAGGUCGUAGCUCCCAUAUUAGCUGAGAUCUCGCAUUUUUGUGGCCCAUUUUUGGGCUCAAAAACGGGGUCGAAAAUUGACUUUUUUCCGAAUUUUCAAAGAGCUAUAAUUCCACUUGUUCUGGUCGAAUUUCGUUAUAACCCGGUGUUUUCGUAAUGUAGGUGAUGGGAAUAAGCCGCUGAUAGGGGUUUCUAUAGCUAUUUUUGGGUUUAAAGAAAAUCGAUUUUUCGCAUUUUCAAAGUGCUAUAAUUCCCUUAGUUUUUCUCGAAACUCAUUAUAACCCGGUGUUUUCGUGUUGUAGGUGAUGGGAACAAGCCGCUGGUAUAGUUAAUUCAAAUUCGAAAAAAGUCAAUUUUUGGUGAAAAAUUCGAUACGGGGGGGUAUACCUGAAAAAUGAAAAAACCCAAACUUUGAAAGCCUAUAUCUCGGCUUCUAUGGGAGCUAUCGGGAAAAUUCCAACGGUUUUGUCUUAGUUUCGUCCUUCUGAAUCCAACGAGGCUAUCCGCAAGGUCGUAGCUCCCAUAUUAGCUGAGAUCUCGCAUUUUUGUGGCCCAUUUUUGGGCUCAAAAACGGGGUCGAAAAUUGACUUUUUUCCGAAUUUUCAAAGAGCUAUAAUUCCACUUGUUCUGGUCGAAUUUCGUUAUAACCCGGUGUUUUCGUAAUGUAGGUGAUGGGAAUAAGCCGCUGAUAGGGGUUUCUAUAGCUAUUUUUGGGUUUAAAGAAAAUCGAUAUUUCGCAUUUUCAAAGUGCUAUAAUUCCCUUAGUUUUUCUCGAAACUCAUUAUAACCCGGUGUUUUCGUGUUGUAGGUGAUGGGAACAAGCCGCUGGUAUAGUUAGUUCAAAUUCGAAAAAAAUCAAUUUUUGGUGAAAAAUUCGAU